UACUGGAUAAGAAAUGAAAAGAAAAAUCAUCAAGUGAUGACGCAACCUUGCAGGGGCUUCCUUGACGCUCCUGGGAACAGGAACACGUGGCUCCUUGAGAGCAGAACUUUCCUGCUUUGCUCCCUUCUGGAUUCGCAACACUAACAUCAUACUUGACAACUGGUAGGCACUCGAAAUUUAUAGACAAGAGGAAUCUUUGUACUGGAGAAGAGGAGGGGAAGUGUUUCCAUAAGACCUGGAAGACAAGACAUAAUGUGGGGACACAAAGGCAGAUGAAGACUUAUUGCUCAUUCUUCUUUUUUCCACUUCCUGAAAUAGACAGUCCUUCCCUCCUGAUCCAAACCCGAUUCAUUGUGUCAUAUCUAGCCACUUCACAAAAGAAUACCUGCAGGAGUCUAUCAUACGUGCACUGAUUGAGAUGGAUCAUGUGAGGAUAUGUAAAACCAGAGACUCAAAAAAUAGCAAACUGAACAUUUAGAUAAGGAAUCAAGGUGAAGAUGGAUAAACAUGCAAGUUUGAAAGA
rnacentral:lncRNA from 1 species